CAGCAGCCGCGGGAAUACGUAGGGUGCAAGCGUUAUCCGGAAUUAUUGGGCGUAAAGAGCUCGUAGGCGGUUUGUCGCGUCUGCUGUGAAAACUGGAGGCUCAACCUCCAGCCUGCAGUGGGUACGGGCAGACUAGAGUGCGGUAGGGGAGAUUGGAAUUCCUGGUGUAGCGGUGGAAUGCGCAGAUAUCAGGAGGAACACCGAUGGCGAAGGCAGAUCUCUGGGCCGUAACUGACGCUGAGGAGCGAAAGCGUGGGGAGCGAACAGGAUUAGAUACCCCAGUAGUCCCUGUCUCUUAUAC
rnacentral:rRNA from 1 species